CUUAAUUACAUGAGUAGAAUAACAUAAGAAAUGAUUUGAUAAUUGUUUUUAAUUUAGAAAUACAUAAUUUAUGAAGUUUCGCUAAAAUAUAAUGAUGUUUUCCAAUGAAUUUUAUUUAUCGCAAAAAAAAAAAAUUAUAGUUGGAAAUUUUAUCAGAAAUAAUGUAUGUUAUUCGUUUUAGGUGGCAAUAAUGUUAAUUAUUUAGGAAUAGUGUUUUUGUUAAAAUAAAUUAUUUAUAUAUAAAAGACACGUUCCACAAGUUUCACGUGUUAGUCACUUUAUACAAGAUUUUGCCAGCUAAAAUAUACAAUAAUCACUUUAUUUCUAAAUAAAAUUUUUUUAAUGAAUCAAUGCUAAUCAGUUUUUCAUAACAAAAAAUAAGUUGUGUAACUCGUGAAAUAUGUUUAUACGACAAAAAAAAUUACCAAUAAUUUAUUUAAAUUAUUUAUUAGCUUUUUCUUAUCUUUGUUAAUAGCUAUAUUAAUUGCUUCUAACUUACUUUUAAACAUCUCUCUGUCACCACUAAAGAAUCUUUGAAGAGGAGUGUUCAAAACUUCAAAUACAAUUUGACACUUUGGGGCAUUUUCUCUAAAAAGGAAGUAUUUGCUUGUAAGACACAAACUCCUGUGAUAAAAAAUGUGCCCAUAUGAAAAGUGAUCAUGCCAACGUAAUUUUGCAUGAAAUAUCGCACAAAAUCACCUUUGAUUCAUAUUUCUUUCUCUGUCCUAAAUAAAAAUGUAAUAAUCUAUAAAUCAUUACAUUAUUUAUUUUGGCGUUUGAAAAAGAAUUUAAACAAAGCCAGAAGAAAGAUAGAAAAUGCGUAGGGGAAAAGAAAAUGAAUAAGAGUAGUAGUGCAAGAGAAAAACGCGUCUUUGAAGAGAACGUCCCAUUCCAUUAGGCAUGCAAUGCGCGGCCGUGAAAGAAGCUCACUCCUCUCCUUUAUUUAUUUAUACAUAAAUCUCAAUUUAAUUAAUGUUUUUUUAGAACAAUCAACUUAAUUAAUGUUUAUAGCUUGGUCAUACACUCAUACUUAAUUCGAGUGUUUGCCUAUGUUUCAUAAAAAAUAUAAAUGGGUCUAACAAGUCAUUUUCCAUUAGAUUCUCUGUUAACAUCAAACGCUUUGACUAAGUACCACGGAAUACUGCAUUGAGAACGACUUAUAAACAUACAAAUAAAGAAUAAAAGAGUUGAAAUACAUUGUAAAAUAUGAAUUUAAGGCACUAAAAAGCGUUUUGUUCAUAUGUGUAUACAUAUAUAUAUAUAUAUAUUUUUUGAAAAUCAUAUAGGAUUUUUCAGUAUUAAAUUGAAAAAUCCAUAUCGGAUUCGAAUCUAAAUAAAAUUAUAAAUUUCUAAAUCUAUUAAGAUACAUACACAAACAACAUCUCUAAAAGUUGAUAGAUUUUUCUUAAAAAGAAAACAUGUGGACUUCUCAUAGUUAUCACAAUAUCUCUAAUUGGUCUAAAUACAUACAAUUAUAUUUUCUUUCUCUCAACGCCUGUAAUUUCUUGAAUCCUCUGUCUUCUCUUGUGGAAAAGAGAAGAUCAAAGAGAUAGAAAGAGACAAAAGAACGCAUUAAUGUUUACAUAAAGCACGUAAUGACAACAAAUUAUUACGUAAUAAUUAAUAUAAAAUUUAAUCACUUCCAAAUAUAUACACCAAACACCCCCAGAAAGACAAUUCACCCUUUCUUUCUUUCUUUAUAUAUCUAAUUUUCAUAACACAUAAAAAUACUUAUAUAUACAAAUAUACACACUUACAAACAUCGUAUACAUCAAGUAAUAGAGAGAACAAGUCCUCUUUUUCCUCCUUGAUCGGAGAGUUCCCGUCUUCCUUCCGAAUAUGGACGGUGGUGGAGAGACGUCGACGGCGGCGAAGGAGGCGAGAGGGCUGAAGAAAGGUCCAUGGACGACGACAGAGGAUGCGAUCUUGACGGAGUACGUGAGGAAACGCGGUGAAGGUAACUGGAACGCGGUGCAGAAGAACUCAGGCUUGCUCCGGUGUGGGAAAAGCUGCCGUCUACGGUGGGCGAACCAUCUCCGGCCAAAUCUAAGGAAAGGAUCCUUUACUCCUGAUGAAGAGAAGAUCAUCAUCGAGCUUCACGCUAAGUUGGGUAACAAAUGGGCUCGUAUGGCUUCUCAGUUACCUGGAAGAACUGACAACGAGAUCAAAAACUAUUGGAACACGAGGAUGAAGAGAAGACAACGAGCUGGUUUGCCUUUAUACCCUCACGAGAUUCAGCAUCUAGGGAUUGGUAAUGAUGAUGAGUUUGAGAUUAGAUGCUUUCAGUUCCCAAACCAAGACCAUCCUAAUCACCAAAAUAUGAUUCAAUACACUAAUUCCUCUAAUACGUCACCAUCCUCGUCUUCAUCAUCUUCUCAACCUCCAAAAGAGCUGUGUUUAGAUCCCUUAAUCUCUACUAAUCCCGGCCUUAACCAGAUCCCCAAUAUGUUCUCUCCUUACAACAAUAGCUUUGAGAAUGACAAUAAACAGUUUGGUUUCUCUCUUACUUUUUCCUCAUCCUCAUCAUCGAAUGAGUUAUGUAAUCCCGACCAACUUCUUGAACUCAUGUCAGAGAAUUUGGACACAAACGUUGCCAGUAAGAAAGACAUUGACGUUUUGAGUCUUAUGGGAGAUCAUGAGACGAUACCGAGUUAUUUCUCUUUAGGACUAGACACUACCGUCCUAGAGCUUCCUUCAAACCAAACACCGUGCACUUCUAAUAUUAUGCAUGACAAUAAUGUCCAUCUUGAUUCACCUGCGGGGAACAGUGGAUUACUUGACGCCCUCUUGGAGGAGUCUCGAGCCUUGUCUCGUGGCGGAAUCUUCAAGGACGCUAGGGUUUCUUCGAGUGGUCUAUGUGAGUUUCAAGACAAGAGAGUGAAGAUGGAUUUUGAGAAUCGGUUGAUAGAUCAUCUAAGCUCUUCUCAUCAAUCAUCAUUUGAAUCAAACUCUAAUCUUUACGAGAAACACAAUGAGGCAACGAUGUUGAAGGCAACAGUGGAUGAUGAUGACGACGACAUGUUGAAGAGCCUUCUCAACAGUUUCCCUUCAACCACACCGUUACCUGAUUGGUACCUGACGAGAGAGAUCCUAAUUAAAGGAGGCCUCACCGAGCGGAAUAUUGAUAGGACACCAUCAAGGUAAUAACAGGGUGGAGCCACACAAGCCACCACCUUCUUCCAAUGUAGAUCCUGUGGCCUCCUUAGAGUCAUCCUACUGGAGAAACAUACCUAGAAUCUGCUAGUAUGAAGCCUCCCCAUGAGAAGAAUUAUUUAUUUAGUAUUGGAAAGAAGAAACAAAAAGAGCUAUUGUGAGCUUAAUUAUCUCUGGUUGUGAUAAAUCUUCUUUAUGUUGUUUAUUCAGUUUGGGAUGUGCUAAGAACUUUAUGUUAACAUGUUUUCAAAAGACCAAAAAAAAGCAAAUGACAAAUUCAAAUGAAAUGAGCUCAGGCUUUUUUUUAGAAAAUUUAUGUCAUACUGAAUCUAUUAUAUACAAGGAUGGCACACACAAAUCAAGUUUGUAGCUGAACUAGAUUUGUUUACAAGAACAAUAAUUACACCACCAUGUGGUGACUAAAUAACACACAUGCGUGAUAUAAAAUAUUAAAAAGUUUAUCAUCUCACAGCAAUUAACAUUAGUGGGUUAUUCCAUAAUCUUGAUGUACUAGAGAAAACAAAGAUUUCAUGUCAAACAUUUAACAAUGGUUCUACUGAUAAACCCACUACUACAUGUUGAAGAUCUCCGGGACGGUUGACGCCAGUUGAUUAGCUUAUAUGUAAUUUGAUUUUCACUAAGGAGAAGAAUUAUUACACACGUUAGAGAGUUGAAUAUGAGUAUGAAAUCAGGGAGUAAUGUGAUUGGGUAGCGACUAGCGAGACGCCUAGCGAGUUGCACCACUGCCAUCGGCUUAUGUCAUUUGCAAAUUAUUCCACACACUUCCAAGAAAUAAUCUCCUUAAAUUUCGGCACUCCAAGAAAGAACAAUAAAAUGAAGAUAAACAAUAAUAAUAUAUGCAAGUAGUCGGUGUAUAUUUUCCUAGUUACCUUCACCUUAUCUGAGUUCUGACAUCACACUGCAGUUCUUAGAUCAGAAGUCUCUUUUAAUGAUCUACAUUUCAAUUUACUUUAUUUCUUUUAUAUGUCACUCCAGAUAACCUUAAAGAAAAGGAAAUCAAACAUGACCUCAAAAUAUACUUCUUUUUUUUCUUAUGUUUCUCAAAAUCAGAUAGUACCAUGAGAGAAACUAGUACUGGUACUUUAAAAGCUAAAAAGAACAGUCUUAUAAAGAUUAGCAUCAAUAUGCAAGUAUUGAUUCUAGAUUCUGGUCUGGUCUGAUUCUGACUCUAUGACAUUGCUGGUCUUUUUUUUUUUUUCCUGGUCUUAUAAGCCUAUUUAAAAAAAAAAUGUUUAUUAGUUCUUGAAGACUCGGCCAAACCUGCCAAUAAAUACAUUAUACCAUUCACGACCAUUGACAAAGUCAUAAAUCUAAAGUUGAGUGGAAAAAAUAUCAUAUUAUAGAGUACACAAUGAAAUCACGGUUGCUCAUCAACAAACAACACAUCACUAAAACUAUACACAUAGCUUAAGAUGAAAAAAAAUUAAAAAAUAAGAUACAACAAAUGUGGAAAAUAAACCAAAAAUUAAGAAACAACAAACGAUACAUCCAUAUUCUUUAAUUGUAUCUCUCCUGAUGUUUAAUGUUGACUAAUUAAUGCUACUUAAGUAUCAUUUGGUAACUGAAGGAAAUAACUUUUUCUCUCUCCUUGCGACAAACGCUCUCAACUCUUCUUGCUACAAACGCCGUGCGCCAUCGUGUUGCUCCGGUCCGGCAAGCUUGCUGGUGCCGGAGGCCCUUUCUCCUCUCCUCUUUGCUCUUCUCCCUUGUCUCUUCCAUGGUUUCCUUGCUCAGAUCUGUGAGUGGGUCAAAGGUGGUCAUCGGCGUUCCGGUCUAGAUCUUGGUGCACGGAGGCCAGAUCCGGUGGUUAUCUUACUUGCUUGGAGUGAUGGCGAAGUCUGGGAGCGGCGAGGUGGUGAAGAGUCGGCUUUUAGGGUUUGUGACGGCGGAGCGAGUUUUUCAGAUCUACGGACUGCCGCUCUUCUCCUCCGUCUGAGUUUGCGGAAAUGUGUCGGAGGUCUCUCUUCUCCUGUUGUUCAGAGUUGCGGUCGUGGUGGCUGUCUCUGUUUCUCCAGCAAGUUGGGUCGGUGUUUGCGGUUUGUUCUUGGCCUCGGUCCUUGGCGUCUUGGAGAGGUUCAUCUUCCGUUUCCGGCCAGGAAAGUCACUAUUGGUCUCAUCCUUCCAAUGGUAGCGCCACCAGAGAGUGGUAGGUUUCGCGUGUCUCCUCCUUCUCAUCCGGUUUCAAGCGUGUGGACUGUGGGCUGGUGCUGUCUCUUGACGUCGUCUAUGGCGUUGUUGACAGUCCCUUUCAUGUCGACGCUUUCCUUGCUCUGCUCUGGCACUGUUCUUGCUCGUGCUUGGAUCCCAAUCUCUCUCUGAUUUAUUCUCUCGGAGGCCUUCGCGUGAUUCAGGUCGCUUGAGAAGCUGUGGAACCGAGUCCCGGUUCUCGGUCUCGGCGUUUGGCAAGUUCUCUUCGUCGCUUGCGGUGGUCAGCAGGUUCCGGAGAAACUUGAAGGCUUCAGACGUUACGCCAUGAUUUCACAGUGCUGCGGCUUCUUCCUUGACUAGCUGCAGUAGUUAUGGCUUUUUCUACAGCUUAUAGGUUUUGAUUUGAGCUCUUUGCAAGGACGCCUAUAUCUCGGCCCGUCUUGUCCUUGUUUGUGUCGAGUCGGGGUGCUCGUACACGUUAAGAUCGGUGCUUUGAAUGUUCAAGGAUUUCGCUGGGUUCGUGUCUUAGAGUGUCGUCGGUUUUCGCUGGGUUCGUGCUGAGGAUAAGUGUCGUCAGUCUCUGCUGGGUUCGUGCUGAGAGUAUGCUUCGGUCUUGCUCAAAGCGUCGUCGGGAGACUAGGGUUCGUACUUUGAAGCGUCGUCGGAAAACUAGGGUUCGUGUUCUAUGGCGUCGUCGGAUUUCCUAGCCGUAUUCACGGUUGUAGAUCAUGUUUUUAGCAUUAAGACUUGUAGUUUUAAUCCUAAUGGUUGUCCUUUAAGAUUUUUUCACUUUUUUUGGAUCUUAAAGAACUUGUGUCCUUUCAUUUUCAUUAAUGAACAUUUACAGUUUA